AUUAAUUUGGUGCAGUUGGCAUUGGCUGCUUUGCGCAAGUCAAAUGAAGUUCAUGGUGUUUUUGACUUUGAGAGAUAUCUUGGGAGCAUCCUCUCUCACCAGCAUCCUGCACACACCAUCUCAGAGCUCACUGUUCCUCUGAAUGCCAUUGAUUUUUUGGCAAGUAAACUUGAGACC